rnacentral:tRNA from 1 species
AUUUAUAUAAUAUAAUAAUUAUAGUUGACUUCCAAUCAAAAAAUCUAGAUCUUAGUAUAAAUU